AGCUAGUAUAACUUUUUUUUCGUAAUGUAAAUUUAAAAACGUUGCUCUCGCUGCGCUGAAUUUACUUUUGUUAAAAUCCACAGCUCUUAAUACGGACUGUAAGGAAAGCAAGGCAGAAUUGAUUUCAAUUUUAUGCCGGCCGGCACAACUAAAUAUUAACGCAGUUGGCGUUGCCAACUUGUUGGCGUUUGUUAUCGAUUGUUUCUAAAAAGCAGCGCGCGGGCUUUAUUUAAUUUAAAAUCAUUGUGAAUCGAACAUCAAAUAGAAUGUCGCCAUGGCAACUCAAAGCAAGAAGUUUCUAGAAAGCGGUCGAACCCAUCGAAAAUGGAAAAGGUACAUACUUGACCAGGACGACGAGCUGAGUCGGUCUAGCCAUGCCUCUCCGAACUCGUUGGUCCCAGAAAAUACAAUAGCUAGAAAACUUAUAUUUUAGAUAUAUUUUCUUCGGUGCCAUACAUCCCCAAUUGAUUUUAAAAACUAGAAACUUCUACUUAUAGAACGAGCUAGACUGUUUGUAAAAGCAGCUAGGCACCCGGCUCAGGGUAUUUCCUACUUGGCUACGCCCAAGAUUCCAGUCAUUUUCAUGUGGAUGAACUUUCCGGUUCAAGCUUUUCACUCGCUUUUAAAUUCGAUCUAUUAUACAAAAGAAAACAUCCCCACAAAUUAUAUAGCAAGGACGAUUCAAAAACAAUUAAGUUUCUUUUUGAAAUAAUAAAUUAAUGGUUUAUUCUAUAA